GCCCCGGUGGUGUAGCCCGGCUAAGCAUACCGGCCUUUCGAGCCGGAGGACCCGGGUUCAAAACUCGCGGGAAAACACCCCCCGAGGGAAAAUCCCGGCCGGGGCACCA
rnacentral:tRNA from 1 species